GGGGCCGUAGCCCAACGGCAGGAGGCACAGGAUUUAGGUUCCUGGCAGUGUGGGUUCGAGUCCCACCGGCCCCACCA
rnacentral:tRNA from 1 species